GCAGUGUGCCGUGCAGUUCAGGGGGCUUAGUCAAGAUGCCUUAACAGUAAACACUAGCAUACAUUAUGUGGAAAGUAGAAAACUAAAUUUGUAUGAAAAUCACAGUUCGUGUCACAGUCGGUAGCCUUGGCCCUAAAGGCAUGAGUUGGGAUACAAUAAGCGACACCAUGAUAGUGCUACGAAAAGACAAUAUUAAAAUAUUCCGGCAGUGUAGAAAAUCUAUCUAGCUAUCAACAUCUUUGAUGGCUACCGUUUUAUCGAAAAGUAUUUUUUAUGUUAUUAAAUAAUUUUCAUUUUAAUUUUAUCUGUUCGUUAAUAACGUUCUCGUAAAAUUUUAAUGAUCUAAACUAAUUAAUAUUUUUUAAGUUAAUUGUUUUAGUUUUUGUUUAUAUUUAAACAAUAAUUUAGAAUGGAAUCUAUGCGAUGAUAACUUAAUAGACACAGAAAAAUAUGAAAAUAUCAAGCAAGCAAAUUACAAGAAAAAGAGAAGAUAAUAAGAUAACUAAAAGUAUUAAUAUGAACCACCAAUGGAAUGAAAUUUAUGUAUUUAUAAAAGUGUUAUGAACCUGAAAUUGAAUUUGAUAAUGAGGAAUCAUGUAUUUGAUUAGGUAGGUAUAUAUGAGGGACAUUGUAUUUUAUGAAUAAUGUUAAAAAAAUAAGAGGAGUGGAGUAAGAAAUAAUGGUUGGUUAAGUAACAUUACCUCAAGAACAGAAACUAUGUUCUUCCUAAAAUUUUACUUCAUAAGUUUGGCAGUUUUAAGAAUGAGAUAUUUAUUACAAAAAUUUUUUGGGAAGAAUUAUAUCUUUACAAUACCUAACUAUUAUUAUUUACAAUCACUAUUCUUUAAAUGGCCCAGGAUGUAUCUUAUCCAAUGAACUGGAGAGCUUUUUCUAUGUUAUCAUAUGCGCUGUAUAUUACCUAACAAAGUACCUUAACAAUUUUAUGAAAUCAUCACAACAUCUGUCGUUACAUUUUAUGUAUUGGCUUUUUUUAAUAGAACAAAAUGCAUACGAAAUAAGUUUUGUCGCUGCCCAUUAUCUCUUACGUUUAUUAGUUACCUAAUUAUAAUUUUUCGGUUUUUAACUUCAUAUAUAAAAAUGAAUACAUCUGUAUUAAUAAUGCACCUGUGUGUGUGUAUUUUAGAAGUAAUAAUUCUAUUUUGUAAUAAGUAAUUAUACUUGCUAAUUUUCCUAUUUACACAAUUUUUUGUUUUAGAGGCAUGUUUGUUCCUUAACAUAUUGUAUAAAUUAAGGAACAAAUGUGAAAAAACCUUAUUUUAAUAAAAAAUAACUAUUAA